AGAACGAACGCUGGCGGCAUGCCUAACACAUGCAAGUCGCACGAGAAAGGGUAGCAAUACCUGAGUACAGUGGCGCACGGGUGAGUAACACGUGAAUAAUCUACCUCCGAGUGGGGAAUAACCUAGGGAAACCUGGGCUAAUACCGCAUAACACUUACGAGUCAAAGCAGCAAUGCGCUUGGAGAGGAGUUCGCGGCAGAUUAGCUAGUUGGUGGGGUAAUGGCCCACCAAGGCGAUGAUCUGUA
rnacentral:rRNA from 1 species